UUAAUUGAAACCAAAAUAGAGGUAUGUCACUGUUAAUGACAUUAGUAGGUUUAACCCUCAAUUAAA
rnacentral:tRNA from 1 species